UGGGGAAUUUUGGACAAUGGGCGAAAGCCUGAUCCAGCAAUGCCGCGUGUGUGAAGAAGGCCUUCGGGUUGUAAAGCACUUUUGUCCGGAAAGAAAUGGCUCUGGUUAAUACCUGGGGUCGAUGACGGUACCGGAAGAAUAAGGACCGGCUAACUACGUGCCAGCAGCCGCGGUAAUACGUAGGGUCCAAGCGUUAAUCGGAAUUACUGGGCGUAAAGCGUGCGCAGGCGGUUGUGCAAGACCGAUGUGAAAUCCCCGAGCUUAACUUGGGAAUUGCAUUGGUAACUGCACGGCUAGAGUGUGUCAGAGGGGGGUAGAAUUCCACGUGUAGCAGUGAAAUGCGUAGAGAUGUGGAGGAAUACCGAUGGCGAAGGCAGCCCCCUGGGAUAACACUGACGCUCAUGCACGAAAGCGUGGGGAGCAAACAGG
rnacentral:rRNA from 2 species